rnacentral:rRNA from 1 species
AAGAUUAGCUAAUUACCGCAUAUUCUCUGAGGAGGAAAGCAGGGGACCUUCGGGCCUUGCGUUAUUCGAGCGGCCGAUAUCUGAUUAGCUAGUUGGUGGGGUAAAGGCCUACCAAGGCGACGAUCAGUAGCGGGUCUGAGAGGAUGAUCCGCCACACUGGGACUGAGACACGGCCCAGACUCCUACGGGAGGCAGCAGUGGGGAAUUUUGGACAAUGGGCGCAAGCCUGAUCCAGCCAUGCCGCGUGUCUGAAGAAGGCCUUCGGGUUGUAAAGGACUUUUGUCAGGGAAGAAAAGGCUGUUGCUAAUAUCGACAGCUGAUGACGGUACCUGAAGAAUAAGCACCGGCUAACUACGUGCCAGCAGCCGCGGUAAUACGUAGGGUGCGAGCGUUAAUCGGAAUUACUGGGCGUAAAGCGAGCGCAGACGGUUACUUAAGCAGGAUGUGAAAUCCCCGGGCUCAACCUGGGAACUGCGUUCUGAACUGGGUGACUAGAGUGUGUCAGAGGGAGGUAGAAUUCCACGUGUAGCAGUGAAAUGCGUAGAGAUGUGGAGGAAUACCGAUGGCGAAGGCAGCCUCCUGGGAUAACACUGACGUCCAUGCUCGAAAGCGUGGGUAGCAAACAGGAUUAGAUACCCUGGUAGUCCACGCCCUAAACCCCUCAAAGGCUGUUGGGCAACUUGAUUGCUUAGUAGCGUAGCUAACGCGUGAAAUUGAAACGCCUGGGGAGUGACGGUCACAAGAAUAAAACACCAAAGGAAUAGACGGAGACCCGCACAAAGCGUGUGAAGAUAAGGAUUAAUUAUAUGCAACGCGAAGAGCCUGACCUGAUCUUGGCAUGUACGGAAUCCUCCAGAGACGGAGGAGUGCCUUCGGGAGCCGUAACACAGGUGCUACAUGACAGUCAUCAACUCGUGUCGUGAGAUGAUGGGUUAAGUCCCGCAACGAGCGCAACCCUGGUCAAUAGUUGCCAUCAUUAAGUUGGGCACUCUAACGAGACUGCCGGUGACAAGCCGGAGGAAGGAGGGGAUGACAUCAAGUCCUCAUGGCCCAAAUGACCAGGGCUUCACACGUCAUACAAUGGUCGGUACAGAGGGUAGCCAAGCCGCGAGGUGGAACCAAUCUCACAAAACCGAUAGUAGUCCGGAUUGCACUCCGCAACUCGAGUGCAAGAAGUCGGAAUCGCUAGUAAUCGCAGGUC